GGCCACAUCAGGUUGAAACACCCGCUCUCAUAUGAUCGCAGAAGUUAAGAAACGUCGAGCCUGAUCAGUAUCUAGAUGAGUGACUGUUUGGGAUGACCAGGUACUGUAAG